GAUGAAGAACGUAGCGAAAUGCGAUACGUAAUGUGAAUUGCAGAAUUCAGUGAAUCAUCGAAUCUUUGAACGCACAUUGCGCCCGCCAGUAUUCUGGCGGGCAUGCCUGUUCGAGCGUCAUUACAACCCUCAGGCCCCCGGGCCUGGCGUUGGGGAUCGGCGGAGCCCCCCGUGGGCACACGCCGUCCCCCAAAUACAGUGGCGGUCCCGCCGCAGCUUCCAUCGCGUAGUAGCUAACACCUCGCGACUGGAGAGCGGCGCGGCCACGCCGUAAAACACCCAACUCUUCUGAAGUUGACCUCGAAUCAGGUAGGAAUACCCGCUGAACUUAAGCAUAUCAAUAAGCGGAGGA
rnacentral:misc_RNA from 1 species